CACGUAGGGCGCGAGCGUGUCCGGAAUUAUUGGGCGUAAAGAGCUCGUAGGCGGCCUGUUGCGUCCGCUGUGAAAGCCCGGGGCUUAACCCCGGGUCGCAGUGGAUACGGGCAGGCUAGAGGUAGGUAGGGGAGAAUGGAAUUCCCGGUGUAGCGGUGAAAUGCGCAGAUAUCGGGAGGAACACCGGUGGCGAAGGCGGGUCUCUGGGCCGAUACUGACACUGAGGAGCGAAAGCGUGGGGAGCGAACAGG
rnacentral:rRNA from 1 species